rnacentral:lncRNA from 1 species
AUACUGACUUGAUCGUUGGAGGGUCCCUUGUCGGAAACCCCCCAUUAGUUCCUUCAAUGCGUGGACUUUCCUUGCAAGUACUCAGAGAGCAUGCCCGACGUCCCCUACUCUAGCCUGGUGACUCCGUGCAGCACCACGCAUGCCACUUGGUUGGAGAGGCAUAGUAACAGAAUCCAUACCUCAAAUUCAGCCAAUUGGUACCUACCAAGGAUUUUGAUAAAUGAAUUAAGAAUUUGCAAUG